rnacentral:lncRNA from 1 species
CUUCCCCCAUGAUCUCCUUGCAGCCUGCCCACACUGGCCUUAGGGUGACUUUCUGGAGAGGCAAGCAUCUUCAUGUGAGACCUGCCAAAGGGUGUAUACCUUCUCAAAAGACCCUGCAGUUUCUUCUCCAAUGUGGACAACGCUGAGCAUAUGAUCUUUCGGUGUCUAUCUGCACUUUCUUUGACCUAAUCACCCGAAGGGAUACCAUUUGAGUUCUGGGAGAGCUGCCUGCCGACUUCACAAAGACGUAUUCCUCUCAUUAAUGACUGUUAGUGUAGCAUCAUGCAAUGCUCCUGAGAAACUGCAGAAAUAGUAAUGACCAUGUGAUGGCCAAGGCUGAUUGGAAGAUGCUCCUGGGGAGAGAUGAAGUUUGGAUUUACAGCAUCAGCAUGAAGGAGUUGCAAGCAUUGGUGUUGUAAACCGCACUGGCACCUGACACUAAAUGUGGGAAAGGGAUGGGGU